rnacentral:rRNA from 1 species
GACAGAGGGUGCAAACGUUGUUCGGAAUUACUGGGCGUAAAGCGUGUGUAGGCGGUCUCUUAAGUCGGAUGUGAAAGCCCGGGCUCAACCCGGGAAGUGCACUCGAAACUGGGAGGCUAGAGUACUGGAGAGGUUGGUGGAAUUCUCGGUGUAGAGGUGAAAUUCGUAGAUAUCGAGAGGAACACCGGUGGCGAAGGCGGCCAACUGGACAGAUACUGACGCUGAGACACGAAAGCGUGGGGAGCAAACAGG